rnacentral:rRNA from 1 species
GACGAACGCUGGCGGCGUGCCUAAUACAUGCAAGUAGAACGCUGAAGGAGGAGCUUGCUUCUCUGGAUGAGUUGCGAACGGGUGAGUAACGCGUAGGUAACCUGCCUGGUAGCGGGGGAUAACUAUUGGAAACGAUAGCUAAUACCGCAUAAGAGUAGAUGUUGCAUGACAUUUGCUUAAAAGGUGCAAUUGCAUCACUACCAGAUGGACCUGCGUUGUAUUAGCUAGUUGGUGGGGUAACGGCUCACCAAGGCGACGAUACAUAGCCGACCUGAGAGGGUGAUCGGCCACACUGGGACUGAGACACGGCCCAGACUCCUACGGGAGGCAGCAGUAGGGAAUCUUCGGCAAUGGACGGAAGUCUGACCGAGCAACGCCGCGUGAGUGAAGAAGGUUGUCGGAUCGAAAAGCUCUGUUGUAAGAGAAGAACGAGUGUGAGAGUGGAAAGUUCACACUGUGACGGUAGCUGACCAGAAAGGGACGGCUAACUACGUG